rnacentral:rRNA from 1 species
UACGGAGGGGGCUAGCGUUGUUCGGAAUUACUGGGCGUAAAGAGCUCGUAGGCGGUUUGUUGCGUCGGCUGUGAAAUCCCGAGGCUCAACCUCGGGUCUGCAGUCGAUACGAGCAAACUAGAGUGUUGCAGGGGAGACUGGAAUUCCUGGUGUAGCGGUGAAAUGCGCAGAUAUCAGGAAGAACACCCGUGGCUAAGGCGGUUCUCUAGUACGGUACUGACGCUGAGACGCGAAAGCGUGGGGAGCGAACAGG